GUGUCAGCAGCCGCGGUAAUACGUAGGCAGCGAGCGUUGUUCGGAAUUACUGGGCGUAAAGAGUGCGUAGGCGGUGCUCUAAGUUUGGUGUGAAAUCUCCCGGCUUAACCGGGAGGGUGCGCCGAAGACUGGAGUGCUUGAGUGUGGGAGAGGAAAGCGGAAUUCCUGGUGUAGCGGUGAAAUGCGUAGAUAUCAGGAGGAACACCUGCGGUGUAGACGGCUUUCUGGACCACGACUGACGCUGAGGCACGAAAGCGUGGGUAGCAAACAGGAUUAGAUACCCGCGUAGUCC
rnacentral:rRNA from 1 species